AGCAGAAGAAGAAGAACACUUCUAUCUCCGCCGCCGCCGUCGUCUUCAUCAUCAUCGCCGCCGUUAAAUGGGUGAGCCUAAAGACAGUCUCGCUCUCUUCCUCUGCCAC
rnacentral:sRNA from 1 species